rnacentral:lncRNA from 1 species
AGGCUGCCUGGCUAGCGGGGAGCGCACACACAGCCUUGCACACGCCGCUGAGCCUCUGCUACCAACCCCCCCCCUUCAACCAAGCCCGGACACACACACACGCACACACACCAGCGGUGCCAAGGGCUGGCUCCCAAUUCUCCCCUCCCCAGUAGCGGAAAGUAGGGGCGGGGGCUGCUGAAGGGAGGGGUGGAGAAGGAGGGAGUGGAAGUAUUACGGGGAGGAGAGAGGGAGCCAGGGGUGCCCCCCCAAAGGAAGCUAGCAAGUGGUGGGUGGUAUUUUUUUUUUGGGGGGGGUGUUAUCUGGAUAAGGGAGGUUUGCUGAUGGGUGCCUAGUUUUGAAUGACAAGCAGGAGGGGUGAUUUGGAGAGGUCUGGGUGCAAAUCCUGUGUGGUGCUGAGGGAGGGGGGCGGUCUGGGGGCAGAGUGGCCAAAGGGUGAGAGAGAGAGAUCCGGAUGAGUUUUCACAUGGGUGAGGGGCGCCCUGGGUGAUUAGGAAGGGAGGGGAAUCUGUAGUAAGGGUGGAAAGAGGCAAUUCGCUCCGUUGCUCGGAUGGAUCUGGGUCAGAGGCAGGGCAAAAAGACGGGGGUGGUUUGGAGAGGGGGUGGGGGAGAGAGAAGUGUGCGCGCGUCUGGAGGGGAGUCGCAGGCAGGAGACGGUCUCCGCUGGAUUUGGGGGGAGGCAAGUUGGAAGGCGCGCUCUGGACAUGGUAGGGCUGGCGACCAGGGCGCAGGGAACCCGUCUUCCCCGGCGGCGGUGGCGCCUGCUCUCCUCGCCGAUCCUUCCCCGGGAGCCCCCGCCGUCGAUCCCCCUCCGCUUGGGAAUGAUGGUCCUCCUCCGGUCUCAAAAGCUCUGGUGGCACCCUCUGAUGCAUUCCACCUCAAGCCCGUCCCAGGCGGGAGUACUGUGUAAGGGGACCUUGUUGCCAGAGAAUCAGAGGACAGGGAGAGGAAUCUGCUGGAGAAGGAACAACAAAUCACACCAGGUUUUCCUGAUGGAGUGACCCCUUUUCUUUCCUUGCCAGCUGGCAGAAUUGCGGGAGGCAACGUGCUAAAUAUGGCCAGUGAAUAUUUUAUGACAUUAAAAGUUGUCAGCAACACUUCGAGUGGUGGGGUUUUCUUGUGUUGUUGGCUUUGGAAACACCCUUCUGAAUGUUAAAACACGACAUUGCGGGUCUUUUUUUAUGUUUACAUUUUGAAUAGGAACAAGUUGUUGUGUCAGCUUUGGAAACCAGUCAGCUGGUUCAGAGGAAUAUCCAACAAAUCUCACAAAUCCACCUGUGCACAUUUGUGCAGUAUAGCCACUGGUGUGUGGUGAUUGUGGACAUCUGUAAACAUAUUUGCACUGGAUAUAUAGAGCAAGGAAAACGGCAGUGGAUAGAGAGUAUGAAACAUUUGGAGGAGCAGGGCGCCUAGGUUCAGCUCCAAAAGUCUUUUGACAAAGAGCCGAGCAAAUGCAGUCUGCUCUGCCAAAACUCCCAAGGAAGAUUGUGGCAUCCAGAAUGAAUUCUGCAAUCUCAGAGCAUGCUCAGGGAGGCCUAACCUCUGUGCAUGUUCCCAAAAUGUCCAACAUGCAUGCAAGAUGGAUGACAAUGCAACUGCCUGCAUGGAAUGCUAAAGGCCUAAUCGCACACAAGCUAUGAGCUAUAAGCACAACCAGGGAGACACCUCUGAGCCAUUCUAUGCUUCAUAUGUUCCAGAACCUCCAGUAACACCCGCUCCUCAAUAUGCAGGAGGCCAUUAGACAUGAAAUAUGGCAAUAAUGUGGACCUGGGAUGUCUUCAGCUGCUCUCCCAUCUCCCUUUUCCAGAACAGUCCUGUAUCUUACCAGAAGGCAGAAAGGUCUGAGUCCAUUCUCUCUAAUAAAACACUUCUACCCCCUGUGAGUCUUGGGUUACUCCACGGGGAAGUGUAAGUAACCCCUGAGCCCCUCCCUCUCUUUUAACUUUGGCCACAAACUUAUCUUUAAGAUGAUAAGUCCAAUGGCAACAAAUCCUGAGCUUCUGUCCACUGGGUGAUUUAGCAUCUUUCCAACUUGUGUGACAAAAUCUUCUUGGGCAAGAGAGUGGAAAACACCAAGGAGUGCAAAUCUUCCUCUGUUAAAUCCCUCUUUAGUGCAUGAUGUAGCACUGUUGCAAAUUAAAGAUUUAAACUGUAAUGGCUGCAUACCUACCAAUUGUUGCUUAGUCUGGCUUUGCAGCUGCCACCCUAUUUGGAGGUGAACAAGGCUGCAGUGAUUCAUCAUACAGUAUACAGAGGUACUUCGGGUUACAUACACUUCAAGUUACAUAUGCUUCAGGUUACAGAUUCCACAAACCCAGAAAUAGUACCUCAGGUUAAGAACUUUGCUUCAGGAUGAUAACAGAAAUCAUGCUCCGGCGGCGCGGCAACAGCAGGAAGCCCCAUUAGCUAAAGUGGUGCUUCAGGUUAAGAACGGACCUCCAGAACAAAUUAAGUACUUAACCCAAGGUACCACUGUAUAGAGCUGCUUUUGAAGAUGGUCUGGAAACUGAGGCAAUAUACAGCAUAACUGGUACCAGGCAUUGUGGUCAUGGGCACCGGCUCCUGAUCUGCUUACAAGACCAAUUCAAGGUGCUGGUUUUGACCUAUGAAGUCCUACAUGGCUUGGGACCUCAGUGCCUAACAUAAUACUUUUAUCAGUAUUCACAUAACUAUGACCUGAGGGUGGAGUCACCAACAUGGUGCCAUUGUGCAUUAUAGCAUCCAUGAGGACUUCCCUUACAUCUGCAAAGCCUCUGAGCUUGCCCAAUGCUUCCUCAUGAAGCAGCUAGGAUUUUUUACGUUCUCUCCCUUGAAAUGGCAUAGAACUAAAAGAGGAAGUUGGAAGAACUUUCAGUGCAAUGGCUUUUUCAAGGCUCCGAUCAGAAGCAAAACAAGUCCAGUGCUGUUUUUUUAUAUAGAAAUCAGCUGUAGUGAAACAAACCCCCUUGAAAUUGCAUAUUCAUGCAUGAAGAUCCAUGAGGAUCUGUAACUUUCAAAGUGGGCAGUUCCACCCCCAAUUCACAGAUCACAUUUAAGUGGCUGAAGCAUAACAGUCAUGGUGCUUCCCAGGCUGCCAUGGUGCAGAAACAUAAACCUAAAGCGUGAUUCCUUGAUUAUUACAAUUUUUAGAAGAUAUCCCAGCAAAAUAGGAAAUUAUAGGUUACCUCUGUGUCCUCAGAUGUGUUCUGUGAUUUGGUGGUGGUUUUGUUCUCUCUCCAUAUAAGUUUAAUGAGGACCUGUGACUUUCAGUGUGUGCAGCCUACCAAUGUAUGCUUUGAUUUGUUGGCAGUUUUAUGUAAAAUUGUGCAGAUUCAAGAGUAACAUUUAAAUUCUACUAGGUAUUACACAUCCUAGGUAUUACAUAGGAAAGCAUAAGUUUGGAUCUCUGUGUCUAUCCAAAAAUUGUUGGCAACCCUGCUCUAACAUCCUCUACAGGCCAGAGGGCCUAUUUGAUAGUGGCACCAUGCCUACAGAAUGCCCUCCUUAAAAAAACCCACCUGGUACCCUCUUUGUUGUCCUCUCAGCAGCAGUUUAAGAUUUUUUUCUGUUCUGCCAGGUCUUUUAGGAAGCAAUCCUAUGCACACGAAAGUGGUAGAAAGCAAGCAGGUGUAAAUUAAAACACCAUAAAGUUCAACAAAUAGGGACGUAGGUGGCGCUGUGGUCUAAACCACUGAGCCUCUUGGGCUUGCCUAUCAGAAGGUCGGUGGUUCGAAUCCCCACGAUGGGGUGAGCUCCCAUUGCUCGGUCCCAACUCCUGCCCACUUAGCAGUUCAAAAGCACACCAAAAAGUGCAAGUAGAUAAAUAGGUACUACUCUGGUGGAAGGUAAACGGCGUUUCCGUGUGCUGCUCUCGUUUCACCAGAAGCGGCUUAGUCAUGCUGGCCACAUGACCCAGAAAAACUGUCUGCAGACAAACGCCAGCUC